GUGUUCACUUCAGCCACACAUAUACUAAUUUGUAACAAUACAGAAAUUAGCAUGGCCCCUGUGCAAGGAUGACAUGCAUGACAUGCAAAAUUCAUGGAGUGUUC